UCCUACGGGAGGCAGCAGUAAGGAAUAUUCCACAAUGAGCGAAAGCUUGAUGGAGCGACACAGAGUGCAGGAUGAAGUCUUUAGGGAUGUAAACUGCUGUUGUAAGGGAAGAAGAAACUAGAUAGGAAAUGAUUUAGUCUUGACGGUACCUUAUUAGAAAGUGACGGCAAACUAUGUGCCAGCAGCCGCGGUAAUACAUAGGUCGCAAGCGUUAUCCGGAAUUAUUGGGCGUAAAGCGUCCGCAGGUUUUUUGUUAAGUUUAAGGUUAAAUGCUAAAGCUCAACUUUAGUUCGCUUUAGAUACUGACAAAAUAGAAUUAUGAAGAGGUUAGCGGAAUUCCUAGUGGAGCGGUGGAAUGCGUAGAUAUUAGGAAGAACACCAAUAGGCGAAGGCAGCUAACUGGUCAUAUAUUGACACUAAUGGACGAAAGCGUGGGGAGCAAACAGGAUUAGAUACCCUGGUAGUCC
rnacentral:rRNA from 1 species